rnacentral:rRNA from 1 species
CCUACGGGUGGCUGCAGUGGGGAAUAUUGGACAAUGGGCGCAAGCCUGAUCCAGCCAUACCGCGUGGGUGAAGAAGGCCUUCGGGUUGUAAAGCCCUUUUGUUGGGAAAGAAAAGCAAUCGGCUAAUACCCGGUUGUUCUGACGGUACCCAAAGAAUAAGCACCGGCUAACUUCGUGCCAGCAGCCGCGGUAAUACGAAGGGUGCAAGCGUUACUCGGAAUUACCGGGCGUAAAGCGUGCGUAGGUGGUUGUUUAAGUCUGUUGUGAAAGCCCUGGGCUCAACCUGGGAAUUGCAGUGGAUACUGGGCGACUAGAGUGUGGUAGAGGGUAGUGGAAUUCCCGGUGUAGCAGUGAAAUGCGUAGAGAUCGGGAGGAACAUCCAUGGCGAAGGCAGCUACCUGGACCAACACUGACACUGAGGCACGAAAGCGUGGGGAGCAAACAGGAUUAGAUACCCUGGUAGUC